GAGGGAAGUAUACAUCUGACCAAACAGCAGUGGACACAAAGCUGACCAGCUCACGGACGUACAACUGUUUCAGGGCAGCCCAGAGCCAAGGACACCUUGCCAUGGCAAAAAAAACAAAUGGAGAGACAACUGUCCCUGAGGUCAGAACAGGUGCUGCGGGACAGGCCAGAGUCCGCCGGGACAGCUGUACUAUUCCUGUCCAGAACAGAGCCGGCUGACUGCGGAUCCACAGAGACUAAUGACAGAUGGACAGAUUUAUUCACUCCGAUGAGCAAUUUCCACACACACACAGACUCGUGGAAAAUCAUGCAGCUGCAACACCCCGCGCCA